rnacentral:lncRNA from 1 species
GAUUAAACUCCAAAGUCCUUAAUUGAAUAAAACCUAAAAUCUCAAGAACAAUUGUAAAAGUAUUGUAUUAAUAUGUAAAAGAGUGUAAACUAAUAAAAUAUAAACCCUAGGGUAUUUGUAGUAUCUCAAAUAACAUUAAAAUCCUAAUAAAAAUGGGAAAGGUAAAGUUAAGUAGACAGUCAGUACGACUUGGUCUUCACUCGUAUAAGAAUGAUAUGAGUCGCACCUUGCCUUCUCAUAUCCAUUCCACUGUCUGGUCUCCCGAAGCUUCAACUUUUUAUUCAGUAUACGACUUUCUCUUAUGAGUUGUACCUAAGUUUACAACUCGUGUCGUUCACUUGCAUCCACUUGGGACUUUGUCUUUCCAAGCUUUGAACACUAGUUUGCAUACGACAUCCCUAUACGAGUCAUACUCAAACUUCCAACUCGUAUACUUUUGACACUUUAAUUCUUGAGUAGCUUAGGUUCUGUUAUUCUUAUGAAUUCUUCGUAUGACUUGUAUCCAAUCUUAUGACUUGGAUACUUGAGUCGUAUCUUCCCCAUACUUGGAUCUACAGGUUGACUUUUGGUUUUGUUGUCAGUACGAUUCAACAUACGAGUUGUAUCGGAUGGUUAUGAUUCAAGAGCUGACUCAUAUACUGCCCAAAGUUGGUCUUUUUAUUCUCUUUUCAUUCAAACACUAUUGUGGACCUGUUUUACCUAUAAUUCACACGAAAUUUCAUCAUAUCCAACAAAAUAUCCUGAGUUCAUACAUAAAUUCAUGGUUUUAAACAUUGAAAGUGUUGUGUUUCAAUGUCACACCAACACCCUCAACAUAGACUUUUACAUGUCCACAGGUAAAUAAAACCAAAUAACUAUUUUCUAGCACAGAGACGAUGCUUAAAUAAGAAGUUCUUUAGAAAGCCAUUGUAGUAAUUUUGAACUUAAUUUCAAUCUUGUUGUUCCGCCCUUUACUUCUAACUUUCAAAACUCAGUUUUAUGUAACAAUUUAGAACACAUACAAACAUGAAGGAAUCUGAUGAUGACAUUAUAUUUAUAAUAGACAGUUGGACAUCGAUAUAGAUUGUAUUUAUUAAACAAUCUAUCAACCUAGAAACAUGGCCCAUGUGUGCUCACGGUCAAAGAAAUCCCAUUCACUCUUCACUUUGAUAAAUUAAUCUAUUAAGGGAUAUACAAAUGACUCUGUUACUCAAAUCAAAGUAUCACCUAUAUAUAUAGAAUACCAUAGGCUUUCCCUUAUGCUUUUUUCCAACAUUUUCAAAAUGUCAUGGUAAGAUCACUAUAGGACUUUAUUUAUCUUGUAACGUAGGUUUUGGGUUGGUAUGAUAUCUUUUGGGAUUCAUUUUGUGACUACGUCUCCUGGACGUUAUGCCUUUCUUCGGGUCCACUCACUUUUCACUUUGUUUAUUUCUGCCCCUAUGUUUCCCUUUAUUCUUUUAAGAAGAUUCUAAUUGGUCAGGUGUAGUUUUCUAGAACUUAUUUUUCUUAUACUUUUUCUUUUGAUUUUUAUUACAACUUUUCUUUCUUUUCUUUUUACCAUACCUUUCUAGAUUUCAACUAUUUUUAUUCUACCCAUUUUCUUCAUACUCGGUUUCCUUUUAUGCACUUCUAUAAUAUCCACCCUCUAAUUAAGCGAUUUGCUUGAGUUAAAGUGUACAGUGUCCACAGGAGAAUCAGGGCCAAAACAGGUUCAUUGUAUGUUAUACAGGAAGGUGAUAGGUGUAACAAGAAAAAUUUGUCUAUGAAGGCUCAGCUUUAUGGAUCAAAGGGAUUUAUUCAUUUGGUUAGGGAAUUUUAGGCUCAACUGCACUCAUACCAAAAUGGCCUAUAAUUAUGUUCUACUUAAAUAUCCUAGACCUAGGUAAAUGCAACCGAACAAGUUCUAGAUUCUAACACAGUGGGAACUCAGUAUAUCUCAUACACACUUGCACAGGGCCAUAUUACUCAGUACUAGUUAUCCAACUAUGCAACUAUUUUGUCCUUCACUAUUUUAUCCCUAAUACUAAUGCCAUUUUCAUAUUCACAAUAGUUUCACACAAGUAUACCAAUCACACAAUUAUUUAAAUAAAAUUUUUCGAAGGGGGCUCAACUUUUUCAAUUUAAACACAACUUUUCACAAUAGCAUUUCAAAUCAGCAGUGGUUCAACGAUAAAAAAUUAAAAAUCAAAAUAGAUUCUUUCAGUACAACUGAAAUUUUUAAAAAUAAUCCAAAAUCAUAAUAAAAACUAAAAUGUUUCCAUAGGCGUACUAAUCUACUCCCUAUCUCAACUGCUUGUAUCGAAACUGCAAGUUAUAACAAACUAUUAGUUUUAGCUACAUCUUUCUUUUUAGAUAAUCCUAAAUUUUUUGAAAUAACCCCCACCCCAAAUAAACAUUGUUGAACUAUCCCCAAUGCUACCAAAAUUAAAAUAGAGUAAGGAUAAAGGUCAUACCUAGGUGCUCAAGGCAUCGGCUCAACAAUAUCAGCACAUAGGCCCAUAAAUAGGGUCCCACUCUCAUUAGCUAUUGUCCCAUCAACCAAAACUAAAACAUCAAUAGUCAGGGUCAUAGUACUUUCCCCCCAUCAUCAACAACAGCUGGUUUCAAACCACCAACUCCAGCGGCCAUCUUAUGAACCCGCAUCUACCGAUCCAACUCAUCCUGAAUACUCUCCUAUCAGGCUUUUUUCCUGAUUGCUCGAUUUUGUUCUUUUUUUUCGUCCUCUCUCAUAUUUGUUCUUCAAUCUUCUCAACCAGUGUAUUAUCUAAGUCUAUCCGAAUAUUUGGCACAUGGCAGUAGGAGUCAUUAUCUCUACAAUGGGCUCAGCAACCAUUGGUCUCUCAUAAAGCUCCGAGACCAUUUUCUUGAUUUCUGCAAUUUCUUAUCUGAUAUCAUAUGCCCUUCACUCAACUGUCGAGUGAUCCUCAACUCAAAAGAACCCAGGCGCCCUUGGAAUACUUUUCAUUUUUUCACUCCUCUUCUAUGUGACAUACCUUUGCAUCAAGUGCAGCUAAUUUAGUCACCACCCUAAUCCAUGCAUCUUGGGAAAUCAUCAUAAUACCUAGAGGUAUACCCUAUGGCCUAGGUGGCACAAACUGGAUUUAUGAUGGGACACUAAAAGUACAUGUUGCAUCUAUAUAUGUACCCUCUGUCUGUGACUCUACCUCAGUAGUUAAAACUAUAGCAGGGAUGUCAGUCUGAUCCUCUUGAGGGAAAAAUCCCACCAUAAUAUCUGUUGCAUAUCUCAUUGGUCAGGACAAAGGGUUAGCUGCGCUCUAAUCAGGCUAAUGUCAGACGUCCUCCUGGCCUCAAUCAUCUUAUUUACUCUAGUGAGCUCUAACACUCCCGCAGCCAUACAAAUCUGUGUAAUCAUGCAGGGGUAGGCCAAUAAUGACUUUUGACCCCCAACUGCCCUAUCCCUCAAAUCUCGGGAUAAGAACUCACCAAUAUUAAACUCCUAACCGACUGUGAAGUCGGUUAUCAUAUUAUCUGGACCGGGGUUAGAACAUCAUCACCUAUCGUGGGAUACAGUCGAUAUCGGGCUAUUGUCCACUAAUCCUUACCCUCAAAGUUGAGGUUACUCUUAUUUAUCUGCUAUGAGAAUACGCCAAGGCCUCCUACAACCUAUACUAUGUUCACACCAUUGUAAGUUAUUCGCUCUGCAAUCCAUCAUAAUAUCACCAUCUACUCCUCAAAACCCAGCAUUCACCGAGGUAUCUUUCUUAUAUAUACCAUCCUAUAAUCCAUUUCUGCUGUGUUGGACAGAGCCUGAUAUUUUGGCCCAUACAAGAAUCUCCCAAUGGUUCAGGAAGAAAUAUCAACCCGAACUCCACGAAUCAUAAGGGAGUAAUAGAAUUGCCUCUCUUAUACAACUGACCCUGUAGAUAUUGCCUCUGUAUCUCACCUUUGUAUACUACAUAAAACUCACGAACAAGAACUUCAGUGCAUAUUUCGGGUUCUUGAGUCAUCCAUUCAAACCCAUACUGAUGGAAGUGAUCUUUAAAACUUGGUAACUCAAACAUCCCGGUAGUAGUCAAUCUCUGCUAUAGAUAAAGUACCCUUUUUAUUUUGCUGUCCAGAAGUCUAAAUAACCCAUUGUUGAAUUUCUCCUAUAUGUUAGGGUACCCCUAUCGUUUAAUGAUGGGCACCGGUGCAGUGGUCAGUGCAAGUGGGGGUCUUGUCUAGCAAUGGGGUUAGAAUCUAACUCUUCAGAACUUGGGCCUCUUCAGAACUAGCCUCUGCUAAUCUAGAUUGAACCUCAUCAUCAUCUUCAUUAGUAGGUUGUGGUGAGCGGGGAGGCGAUAUAGUAGGAUUUUUCCUUCUCGGCCCCUUUGGGUUGAUUCUGAGUUUUGUGGAGCUACCUUCUUCCCCUUGGCUUUUGCAGCUGCCUUCCCCUUAUAUGCAGCUUGCUUUUUUAGAGGUUCCAUCAUAAACUUCCCCGCUUCUUUUAAUAAAGUCUCAUACUCUAAAUCACUAGAUUCUAUACUUGCAACAGAUAUUUAUUUGUUUACCUUCUUAGAAUUUUCUUGGAUGAGGAAGCAUUCUUUGGAGGCAUCGUUCCUAAAAAUACACCAUUAUUAGUAACUAAGUAAAGAAAAAAAGAAAAAUUUAUAACGAAAGUUCAAUGUGCUUGGUUUGAUUCGGGUACAAAUGGUGGGUACGAGUUGUACCAACUAGGUACAACUCGUAUAGUCAAGUUGUAUUGUGUUCAGUACAUGACCUUUGUUCAUUGGUCGGCUUACGACUCCUCCAAACUAGUUGUACUAAAAGGCUACAACCUGUUACCAAUAGUUGUAAGUUGAUCAGAAUCAUUUAUUCUAACCUAUAUCUUCCCAGGUGGGUACGACUAAGUGUGUACGAGUCAUAUGUGUUAUGCCCCAUUUUAACACGACGUCAAAAUAGCAUAUAACAUAUUGUAAAAACCUCUCAUUAAAUUAAGUAAGUUGCCACAUAAUUAAUUCUAUAGUGAAUUAGGACACCUAUUAUAACUAUGCGAUUAAAGUGAAAGAAAGACUUCAUUUUAAGUUCCACUUAACCUAAGACUCUAGGUAAGGAAAGGAUGCUAAUUAUCCUAAAGGGAAGCGAUUAGGCACCCUAAAGAAUCCGCUAAUUACAAUUAACUGACCAAACUUAGGUUGAUUAAGAAAUUAAAUUUAUAUUAAGAGAAAUAUAAGUAAGGUAUUGAAAAUACAUUAACAUGAUAAUUGUUUAUAAGAAAAGUUUAGAAAACUUUAAAGGGACCUCUUCAUCACUCUACUUUUCAAAAUUAUCGAAGAUAACUCUUAUAGGUCCUCUUAAAAAUAAUGCAACCUUAUUGAUGUAAAAAAGAUAGUUAUUUUAAAAUCAUUUCUUUUAAAAGAUAAAAAAUUUAAUUAUGUUAAAAAAAAAUUUCACAUUCUUUCUUUAUUCUAAAAAUAUGACUCUUUCAUCCUUUUUAAUCAAAUUUUGUAAAAAUAGGUUAAUUUUUCUACACUAAAUGAAUUGCUAUAAAAAUAUAGUUGUUUAAAUCUACAAUAAUUUGAGAAUUUACUAUUUAUCAUGAUACGGCUAAAAUAAAUAAAUAAAUAAAAUAUUCUCUUGUCAUUUGAAAUUCCCCCAAAAAGGGUCUUGGGAGGUUGGUUUGGCAAAGUUGCCCUAUUAUAUUUUAAAUUAAUGAAAAGUAAGGUUGAUUUGCCAUAUCUAAAAUUAUUAAAGCCGGUUUUCAAGUCUAGCGACAAUAAACUUGUCUACCGCAAAAUUUAUAUUUAUCAAUGCCAUAUUACUAAUUGAUACCGAACUAACUUGAAACUAAAGGAAUUUUUUUUUUCUAAUAGCUAAGUCACUAAACACUAAAAGAUGUAUUUCUUAACUAUCAAAUUUUAACCUUCAACUUUACAAAUUAUAUAUUGAAGCCUAGUGAUCAAUUCAAUAAAAAGGGUAGGGAGAGAAACAAUUAAAUUUGUGAAUCUUAUUUAAAUAACUUAUACUAAUUCAAAUACGAGCCAACAAAGCACAAAUUUAAAACAACAAUGUGCAACGUGUAAAGAAAGAUAAUAACCGUAUGUAUAAGAGUAAAACUUGGAGGGAAGAAAGAGGCACUAGACUGCUAGCGGUAUUGACUUAAAGUAUGGAACAUAACUCCUCCCUCGGAUAAGAGAUAGUGUUAUUCUCAUUCUAAGACUCCAUGUGGGUACAAGGGUCUAGCCUUAAGACCCCAAGUUUGUUUUCUCCCAAUGUGUAAGUGCGGAUAAAGAGAAGGUAAUCGAAUUAGUAAGACAAUUCAACUUACAUAGAAUAAAAUAAAGUUGCAUAACGAAUAUAUUAGCUAAAUCCUAACACAUGUAUUUUAUGCACAAGCUAAGCUUCAGGUCCAUCAUACUUAAGCUACAAUGAGUUCACUCCAAAAAUAUACUAGAUUGCAUGUGAUCUAUGCAUUUAAAAAGAAUAAUUCGCACACAUACUCUAGCAAAUGAAAUGGGUACAGUGACCAAAAAUCCAUAUAAGCCAAGAACAUGAAGUGAAAUACACUUGGGUUCAUUUCCUAUGAAAGAAAAUAAAUAUAGAUGGUUUGCAUUACAUUUCUAAGUAAGUGGAAUAGCAAACAUCUAAAACGUUCCUACAUAGAAAGGCAUGAGUUCAAAAUUUCUUAUCCGAGAAGGAACAAUAAACGCGUAAAGGGAGUAAUGAAAUUAGUAAAGCAAUUCAAUUCAUAGAACCAAGUAAAAUCACAAAACCAACAUAGUAUUCAAAAGAUGAUAUGAACAAAUGCCAAAUUAGAUAACUUUUGGUCAACCUAAAGUAGCUAAGUCAUUCAUGUUUAAGCUACAACAAGACUACUAGUUUAAAGUAUGUAUGUAAUUUAACCUUAUCCCCUUAUACAUUUUAUAAGUUAAACAAAAAAAGAAAAUUUCAAUACGCAUUUUAACCAGAAGAAAGGGAACAACUAGUUUAUAUCCUAUUUCAAACUAAGUCUAAUUUUCCACAAAUAGACUUACCCUUAAAAAACAUGAACUAUAUGAAAGCUUUUACCAUACAGAGAUAUCAAGCAACAUAAACACAAAACAAAAUUGAUUUCAAAUGGGUGUUUAAUAAUGAAAACAGAACCAUUCCUUAAAUCGUGAUGGCUAAGAUGUGAAAGGUGCAUGACUUCAAAUCUCUAUGAACUUUGGACGAAAUAGAACUACAUGUUUUAAGAUCACAAAAUAUUAUGAUUAAACCAAGUAAAAUAUAUAUAUAUAUAUUUUGCAAAAACAGAACACCCAUGACAUUUUAUUCACAAUGAUGAAAUAAGGGAAUAGGAGGCGAACAUACCUAUUGCGUCGAAGUGAACAUGGGUGCUUUGUCACCGGUCUAGACUUGAUAUUAAAUAACAACGAACUCAGAGAAUACUCAAAAGCUAGUCUCUAUUGAGAGGGAACCAAACAUGUGAAACAAAAGCUGAGAAAUAAAAUAGUUUUUUAGCAAAGAAGGAGAAAUAAUGAUUUCAAGAGUUGUGGGAGCAGUGGCUCCCAACCCCUCCACCCCACCCCCCCAGAAUAGACUCCAAACAAAAGUAUUUAUAUAGAAAAACUAGGCUUCUCUUUCUUGAGCAGGCUUGGUCAUUCAAUUUGAACACAACAUUGGAUCUUGGAUCUAUUCAAAUUUUCACGUGAUUUUUAUUGCCAUGACACAAGAAUGGAGAAGCAAACUUUACCCAUGGUGAAAGGGGUCUAUAUUUUUUCUUGAAUAGGAAAAGAAGACGUUGAUGUCUAUUUGGGAAGAGAAACCAUGUAUUCAAUAAGAGAAAGAGAAGAUUCAGGCCUAAUUCUAUGGUUUUGAGAGUAUUAAGGGUAUUUUAAUUAGGUAUGUGAGGGUAUAAGAGAUAGUUUAGAGUGAUUGAAA